rnacentral:rRNA from 1 species
GACGAACGCUGGCGGCGUGCCUAAUACAUGCAAGUCGAACGCUGAAGAGAGGAGCUUGCUCUUCUUGGAUGAGUUGCGAACGGGUGAGUAACGCGUAGGUAACCUGCCUGGUAGCGGGGGAUAACUAUUGGAAACGAUAGCUAAUACCGCAUAAAAUUGAUUAUUGCAUGAUAAUUAAUUGAAAGAUGCAACUGCAUCACUACCAGAUGGACCUGCGUUGUAUUAGCUAGUUGGUGAGGUAACGGCUCACCAAGGCGACGAUACAUAGCCGACCUGAGAGGGUGAUCGGCCACACUGGGACUGAGACACGGCCCAGACUCCUACGGGAGGCAGCAGUAGGGAAUCUUCGGCAAUGGGGGGAACCCUGACCGAGCAACGCCGCGUGAGUGAAGAAGGUUUUCGGAUCGUAAAGCUCUGUUGUAAGAGAAGAACGGGUGUGAGAGUGGAAAGUUCACACUGUGACGGUAGCUGACCAGAAAGGGACGGCUAACUACGUG